rnacentral:rRNA from 1 species
UACAGAGGGUGCUAGCGUUGUUCGGAAUCAUUGGGCGUAAAGAGCGCGCAGGCGGUCGUGCAAGUCGCGUGUGAAAGCCCCCGGCUCAACUGGGGAGGGUCACGCGAUACUGAUCGACUCGAAGGCAGGAGAGGGAAGUGGAAUUCCCGGUGUAGUGGUGAAAUGCGUAGAUAUCGGGAGGAACACCAGUGGCGAAGGCGACUUCCUGGCCUGUUCUUGACGCUGAGGCGCGAAAGCUAGGGGAGCAAACGGGG